UUCACCGGGAGACAGAAGCACCAUAACUUGA
rnacentral:piRNA from 1 species